rnacentral:tRNA from 1 species
GAGGGUAUAGCUCAGCGGUAGCGCGCAUGCUUAGCAUUCGUGAGGUCCUGGGUUCAAUCCCCAGCACCUCCA